rnacentral:rRNA from 1 species
AUACGGAGGGUGCAAGCGUUACUCGGAAUCACGGGGCGUAAAGCGCGCGCAGGCGGCUAUUUAAGUUGGAUGUGAAAGCCUAUGGCUCAACCAUAGAACUGCAUCCAAAACUAUUUAGCUAGAGUGUGGGAGAGGAAGAUGGAAUUAGUUGUGUAGGGGUAAAAUCCGUAGAGAUAACUAGGAAUACCAAAAGCGAAGGCAAUCUUCUGGAACACUGCUGACGCUGAGGCGCGAAAGCGUGGGGAGCAAACAGGAUUAGAUACCCUAGUAGUCC